rnacentral:rRNA from 1 species
GACGUAGGGUCCAAGCGUUGUCCGGAUUUACUGGGCGUAAAGAGCGCGUAGGCGGCUUGUUAAGUGUGAAGUGAAAUCUCCAGGGCUCAACCCGGAAACUGCUUUACAUACUGGCAAGCUGGAGUGAUGAAGAGGUUUGUGGAAUUCCUGGUGUAGCGGUGAAAUGCGUUGAUAUCAGGAGGAACACCCAUGGCGAAGGCAGCAAACUGGUCAUCAACUGACGCUGAGGCGCGAAAGCGUGGGUAGCAAACAGG